rnacentral:rRNA from 1 species
AGUGAACGCUGGCGGUAGGCCUAACACAUGCAAGUCGAACGGCAGCACAGUAAGAGCUUGCUCUUACGGGUGGCGAGUGGCGGACGGGUGAGGAAUACAUCGGAAUCUACUUUUUCGCGGGGGAUAACGUAGGGAAACUUACGCUAAUACCGCAUACGCCCUACGGGUGAAAGCAGGGGAUCUUCGGACCUUGCGCGACUGAAUGAGCCGAUGUCGGAUUAGCUAGUUGGCGGGGUAAAGGCCCACCAAGGCGACGAUCCGUAGCUGGUCUGAGAGGAUGAUCAGCCACACUGGAACUGAGACACGGUCCAGACUCCUACGGGAGGCAGCAGUGGGGAAUAUUGGACAAUGGGCGCAAGCCUGAUCCAGCCAUACCGCGUGAGUGAAGAAGGCCUUCGGGUUGUAAAGCCCUUUUGUUGGGAAAGAAAAGCAGCAGGUUAAUACCCCGCUGUUCUGACGGUACCCAAAGAAUAAGCACCGGCUAACUUCGUG